ACGGGUGCGUAACGCGUACACAACGUGCCCAAGGGCGGAGGAAAGCGGCGGGAAACUGCCGGUAAUACUCCAUGGUGUUGUUGAGUGGCAUCACUUAACAACUAAAGUACAAGCGCCCUUGGAUCGGUGUGCGUUCGAUUAGCUAGUUGGCGGGGUAACGGCCCACCAAGGCUUCGAUCGAUAGGGGGUGUGAGAGCAUGACCCCCCCACACGGGUACUGAGACACGGGACCCGACUCCUACGGGAGGCAGCAGUAAGGAAUAUUGGACAAUGGGCGGAAGCCUGAUCCAGCCAUGCCGCGUGAAGGACGAAGGCGCUCAGCGUUGUAAACUUCUUUUGGAUGGGAACAUAACUCCGACUUGUCGGAACUUGAGGGUACCAUCAGAAUAAGCACCGGGCUAACUCCGUG
rnacentral:rRNA from 1 species